rnacentral:rRNA from 1 species
GAUGAACGCUGGCGGCGUGCCUAAUACAUGCAAGUCGAGCGAACAGACGAGGAGCUUGCUCCUCUGACGUUAGCGGCGGAAGGGUGAGUAACACGUGGAUAACCUACCUAUAAGACUGGGAUAACUUCGGGAAACCGGAGCUAAUACCGGAUAAUAUAUUGAACCGCAUGGUUCAAUAGUGAAAGACGGUUUUGCUGUCACUUAUAGAUGGAUCCGCGCCGCAUUAGCUAGUUGGUAAGGUAACGGCUUACCAAGGCAACGAUGCGUAGCCGACCUGAGAGGGUGAUCGGCCCCACUGCAGCUGAGACACGCUCCAACCACCUACGGGAGGCAGCGCUAGGAAAUCUGACGCAAGGGGCGAGAGCCUGAACGAGCAACGCCGCGUGAGUGAUGAGUGUCUUCGGUUCGUAAAGCUCUGUUAUUAGGGAAGACCAAAUGUGUAAGUAACUAUGCCCGUCUCGCCGGUACCUAAUCAGAAAGCCGCGGCUAACUGCGU